CUCCCGGAACCAGCCGGCGCGGGCCUCCUCGCCCCGCCGCGGGCGGCGCUGCCCGCUCCGGUCGGCCGCGGCCGGGGGCUGGGACUGUGGCUGGCGCUGCUCUCGAGUUGGCGUGCGGGGCCGGGCUCCGUGGGUGCGAGGUUCCGGGGCAGGCCCCGCUGCUCCGGCUGCCGCUUUCUUGGGUCGGGCCAGUUCCGCAGGAGCGUCGGCUCCGGCCCUCUUUCCUGGGCGGUGUGGGGUCAUUGCUGCUCCAGUGUCGCUGAGAUCCGAGUGUGAGGCCCGUCUGUCUUGGCGUGUGCGCCCGUGCCCCAGUGCCCUCGCCGCUUGCUUCGCCCCCUCUGCGUCCCUUCCACUCGUGCUUCCUUCAGAGUGUGCAGCCGGGUGCCGGCGAGCUCCGUACUCUGGGAAAGGGCACGCUGUACUUUGAAUUGGUCCUGGAACACGCCAGGUUGGCUCACGUUUGCAUGGACGGGUCGAAUUAAUUUGCUCGGAAAGUUAAUGUAGCUCUGAAUUUUAGCGUCUUUCCACGUGUAAUUAAUUUUGCAUAAAGCAGUUGCAAUGAUUGAUCAGUAUUAUUGUUAGUGCUGAAGAAUAGCAAAACAGUGUCGGGACUGCCUUGCAGAGUCUAGAUUCAUCCUCUUGCUGUAAUAAGAAAAGUCUUUUGAAAGGCAUGAAUUUUGGUCUUGGCUUUGCCUCUGCCCAGUUUUGUGACCGUGGGCUCGAUUAAUUCAUGUGACUUGAGAUAUAAUUUCUGAGAUUCCUUUUAAAUUCCACGUCUUGUAAAUCAGUGAUGAGCUUAUUUUCCGCCCUGUACCUUAAAAAGGCAUGGGAAAUGAAAGGCAGCCCUGCGGGGAACAAAGAUUUAUGAGCGCACAGGUUUAGAGGCUGUGAUUACAGUUUAAGACUGCAGGCUGAAAAGGGAACACAAAAUUGAAAGAACUUAUGUAGAAUUAAUUAUAUAGGAAACUUGGAAAGCUUUCAGAAGUUCCAGCAGCAAUUACUGUAUUUAAUUACCUCUCUUUGCAGUUGUACAAAUGAGGUGAGGAGAAAAGUGCUAGGAAAGAGAGUAGUAGAGGAUAGAUAAUUUAGCAUAUGUCUUAAGUGUAGGGAGAAUCCUUUGGAAUUUUUAGUUUGUAUAGACAUUUUCACUCAGGAGACACUUUUUCUUUUAAGUAGAUAGAAAGUUUUGUAUUUCCCCUGCAGGAAAAUCCUGCGUUUAUUCUGAAUGUGUAGAAUUCCCUACCCUCCCAUCCGCCAAUAUUAUUUAACAGCCUUUCAAAAGUACCGUUUGGCUUUGUAAUACAUAGAUGAAAAGAUCGUGUGUUCCUUCGUGGAGAACUUAGUUUGAGUACUUUGUAGCUGUGUGACUAGGGAAAGUCGCUUUUCCUGUCUCAGGCUGUGUUGGUCAACUGUGAAAUGUGGACAAUGAUUCCUGUUUCCUAGGGUUGUGAGGAUUAGAUAAAAUCCUUUAUGUGGAAACCGUACAGCAAUGCCUGACAUAUCAGAUAUGCAAUAAUGACAGUUAUUGUUGUUAGUGUUGUGUUCAUAAUGCAGCAAAGAGAAGUGGUCACUGGGUUUUAGUCUGGCUAGAGGGUAUGGCCUAAAGAGGAGUGCAAAGUGGGAAGUGAUUGACAGCCGCUGCUAUGCCUGAGGGUGGAAUUUUUGCAAAGUCGUAAUCCGUUUUCUGGAUCUCUGGCUGGGAUGCUGCCCAAACAGUGAUUGAUUACACCAGGAAGAGACAGGAGGGGCACUCAUUUGUGGAAGGUAAGUUUGUUGUGGUACAUCUGAAUAGGAGCUGACGGCUGUGUGCUCCAGCCACAGGAUUCAGUUUUGAGCUCUAGUUGGGUAUUUGCAUAUGUGUAUAACCCGGAACCUCUGGGUUUUAAUCUAACUAAAAGCUUAAUAUCAAAACCAACAAAGGAAAAAGUAGCCAAAUCUCUUUAAAACUGAACUAGCCAAACAAAUAAAAGCAGUGGCAGGAAACCCGAAGGUUAAUCGGUGAGACGGCAUGAAGUCAUAUGACAAUAUAGUCUUAAAAAUGUUUUGUUUGUUUCUAAAUUGGAGAUCAAAAGCUCUAAUCCCAUUUCUCAUAAGUUUUUGCUGACAUUUUUGUGGAUAUCAUUUGUGUAUGUGUGCGUGUCUAUAUAUAUGUAGAAAAAAAUCACUACUAAAUAUGAUAAAUAAAAAGAAGAAUCAACUAUAAUAUCAUCAUUGAGAAUUAGCUACUUAAAACUGGAAUUUAGUUGAUGAGUAUUCCAAGGCGUGAAUUGGCUGUCAUUUAUUUAACUCACUGAUUUUCAGUAGCACUGAUUUGGAGGCCCAUUCUGCCCCCAUCAGCUGGGAGCCUUUGGGCCAGGCCCCUUCCUGGGACUGGGUUUCCUAGUCUGUUUUUCUGCCCUCCUAUCCCAAACUUGUUGUCCAGUUGAUCCCCUGGAAUCAUUUGUAUGGAACACUUGUAAUGGUAAGUUACAGGACCUCCGCAGGCCGUUGUUACGUAGUUGUUUUGUUUUUUAACUUGGAUUCAGCAAAAUCCAAGAAUGGGUUGAAGAAGAUACUACUGGACAGGAAAUGAAUUACUGGAUUUAUUUUUAGUGUGUUCUUACACUCUGUGACUUACAGUGUUAAUCAUUAUAUUAAUUAUGAACUUAGUAGGCUAAGAAUUAGUUAAGUACGGAGAUUAAUGUUUUCAAGGAUAAUAGGGAGCUGAGUUCUGGGGGCGGAGUUGUUCUUUGGCACUGAAAUACACAAGACAUAUGAUGAUUUUUCAAGUUCCAUGCUUAGGGAGCCUUUUUUUCCCUCUCCC
rnacentral:lncRNA from 1 species